GAUCCUGGCUCAGGACGAACGCUGGCGGCGUGCUUAACACAUGCAAGUCGAACGAGAAUCUGCUGAAGGAGGAUUCGUCCAACGGAAGCAGAGGAAAGUGGCGGACGGGUGAGUAACGCGUGAGGAACCUGCCUUGAAGAGGGGGACAACAGUUGGAAAUGACUGCUAAUACCGCAUAACCCGAUAGGAUCGCAUGAUCCAGACGGAAAAGAUUUAUCGGUGUGAGAUGGGCCCGCGU
rnacentral:rRNA from 1 species